GAUUGUAAUCUGUCAUACAGACUUCUUUUCGCUGGCUCCAGAUAACUUUAUUAUGUCUGUUGUUAUUAAGUGCUAACCAUAGGUGCUACUGUGGAUUUAGUUGGAGACUUGUGUGUUAUUGGGGCUGGACACAAGAGGUCCCUGUGCUUUCUCUCUCCAAAAUUUGUUACUGCUAGGUCCAUUACCUCUAGACAAAAAGGGCUAGCAAGUAACAAGUGGGAGCUCGUCCUUUCAAGUGAAAGUUUACCGUGGUGUAAUUGUUUCAAGGCAGGCUACCAAACAAGUUGUUAAAGAUGACUUGCGGGAAAAGCUAGUUGAUUUAAGGGAUUUUACCUGAUUAUUCUGCCGUCAGUGCUGAGGAACAACCUGGAUUCACCGCAGAAGCCGUGGCAGUAGAUGCCAGUGCUACCGGUGCUGGAGCAGUCCUGCUGCAGGAGGACUCCAGUGGAAUUGACCACCCCAUCUGCUUCUAAGAAGUUCUCGAAAUGCCAACAACACUACAGUAUGAUUAAGAAGGCCCUCGCCGUGCUGUUAGCUCUUCAACAGUUCAAGGUUUACUUGGGGAAGCAGUGCCAUGCCUAUCGCUGUGUACACUGACCAUAACCCAUUGAUCUUUCACUCCCGCAUGUCCAACUCCAAUCAACAUUUGAUGCGCUGGGCUCUAAUUGUCCAGGAGUAUAACCUUAAUCUCCAGCACAUCCGUGGUAAAGACAAUGUGGUGGCGGAUGCGCUCUCUAGGAUUGCAGAUGUGGAGACUUUGUGAUUUGUUCUAUGUGCUUUGUGGUAGAUUUUUUUUUUUAUUUAUUUUUUUAUUUUUAUUUUUUUGUUCUCCCCCUUGGUUACUGCUACCAUUCUCAUGCAGGUGAUUGGGUUCACCUGUUGCUGGUUUGCUGCCCAUUCACCUCAGCUCCACUGAUUGGCUGCAGCCAGGAGAAAGCCAGCAUAUAAAGCCAGCACUGCCUCACAACAAGCUGAGAGGGUUGCAGAUUGUAACCGGUCACACGGACUUUUCGCUGGCUCCAGAUAACUUUGUCUGUUAAGAACUAACCAUUGGCGCUACUGUGGAUUUAGUUGGAGACUUGUAAGUUUUAGAAUUUAAGUGUUUUGUAAGGAAACUUGUGGGGAGUUGGGUGCCUUUUUUCUUUAAUUGCUUUUCUCCUGGUUAUCUGGGUUGUCAAGGAGAUGGGAAGUUCAUUUCUUUUGGUUUAUCUAUAGGCAAGUUAUGGUUAAAACUGAGUUAGAAAUGUUUUUGUGUG